rnacentral:lncRNA from 1 species
AUACACCAAUAAAAGAAAAACCACGCUUUCUUCAUUCUUCGUGGAAUUGCAAGCAUAAAUGCACUUCUGCGGUCUCAGUCUGGGAAUCGCUGGCGCAAGGGUAUAGCAAUAAAAAUAGANNNNNNNNNNUCUCAGUCUGGGAAUCGCUGGCGCAAGGGUAUAGCAAUAAAAAUAGAAAAUCGCUCUCUUCGUUCUUCUUAGAAUUGCGAGGAUGCUCUCUACACGAAGUAUGCUCCAUGGUAAGACUUCUCCUUCCUAUUACGCUUUUGUGUAGCUUCAGUGGAUUAGGGAUUCUCAGAAUUUUAAGGACUGCAAUUUGCUCCACUUUUCCAUGUUUAUUUACCGAUACUUGGCACGUCUCUACUCUGCAAUCUAUCAAAACUAAUUACCCAAUAAUNNNNNNNNNNCUUGGCACGUCUCUACUCUGCAAUCUAUCAAAACUAAUUACCCAAUAAUUCUGGGAUUUAUCUUCACGACUGGUUCAAUUGUUGGAAGCAGUUCCACAUUGUUCCUUGUUUGUUUUUCUUUAAUGUUUCAAACACUGGACAAAUUUUUCUUUCAUACCUCUUCUCGUGAAACACUUNNNNNNNNNNGUUUUGUUUAUGUAUAUUCAUUAAACUCUUAAUGGUGCCAGCAAAAGAUCCAGGUUUGAAGGUCGUAGGAAGGCACGAAGGCUGGAGUCUUAGUGGAGAAAACAUAUGAAAGUUGCAGUUGAUUAGAUUGAAUCAUGUAAGUGGAGGAUAUUUCUUUC